rnacentral:lncRNA from 1 species
GUAGAAGCUCGUCUGGGAUCCAUCCACUGUAGGAGCUUGGCUGAAGUCUGCCUGAAAUAGAAGUUCAAAAGAAAUGUGUUUACAGUAGAUCCUCGAAUGGAAUUUGCUUACAGUAGAUAUCUGAGGUAGACCGCCCGCUGUAGGAGUUCGGAGUAGACCGCUCGUAGUAGAAGUUUGACUCUCGCAGGAGCUCGGUUGGAAUCUUGAAGGCGAUCGACCGUCGUAGAAACUUGGAUGGAGUCUGAUUACUGUAGAAAUCUCAUUAUCGGGGA